GCAUGUUUCAAAUGCUUAGCUGCCUAUAAAGCCGUAACAGUGUGGCCUGUGGUCACUGAGAGAAGAAUAUAAGUUGGCCUCUGUAGUGACCAUGUGGAAGUCCCAUCCUCGCUUGCAGACUUGACCUCUGGAUAUGACAAGGUGGGGCUCUGCGUUCACUGACAGCCCUCCCUUAGGACUCGGCUCAUAAAAGAAGUGCUGAAUCAGCGCGGAGCGUGAGCGCAGGGCCGAGAGGAGAGGGCUGCUGCAUGUGACUCUCUAGGUCACUGCCUGUCCUGCCGCUGGCGCUGCACAGCACUAAGCUGACAGGUAAUGCACCACUCCGCCUGUGCUUUCAAGGGUACUUAGGACCUUCUGCAUGCUUAUCUCGUGUCCACUCGACUCGGUAUGUGUUCUGCUUGUUAAAGUCUAUCUGGGCUGAGCCUAACUUCACAGUACAAAUUAACAGUUUGGGUGGUGUAAAAAAGGAAUGUUGUUCAAAUAUUUUCAUAACAAGUAACUCAAUCUCAAAAAUAUAUACAUCUCUUAUUGUCAAUUGUAUCACUAAAGAUUUAGCCUUUGCUGUUUCAGAUUAGUUUUGCAUCACUAGUAAAUCUGUAUCUGUCACUCCCAGCAAGUAUACUACCUUCUAAAAAUUGUAUUUCAAGAUUUAGUCAACCAAGCAACUUGGCAGAUUAUAAAAUACUUCCUAGUGCUUACCAUGAAAUCAACCACAAGAGUAACUCUGAAGGCGCACAGUGGGACCCUAACCUGCGCCGCUAACCGCUGCGGUGCCAGACUCCCCACUACGCUCUGAUUUGCUCCAGUGAGCUGCACUCGCUGAGAUUCCACUACUCUUGCUUUCUCUCUUCCCUGCUUCCUUUGCAAAUCUGAACAUUUCUUGAAGUUUUCUUUUUAAAUUAACCCUUUAGUAUCGUAAUAAUUAAAAAGUUACUCACCAACUGUAAUUUUUUCUCAUGUUACAUGACUGUGCUAAAACCCAGGUGCUACAGGCUACAACCCUUCGGUCCUUUUAGAUAAGACUUAGGGAAAGUGGACUGAAAGAUUUUGAAAAUCAAGAGAACUAAGCUCACUAACAUUCAACAUGGAGACAUCUGUUUGAAUGUGUAUUCAAACAGAAGCACAGAAAUAUAAAAUUUAAGAAACUAAUAAAGAACUGUAACAACGAAGUUUUCAAAUGAUCAUGAGUUUUUAUCUGUGACCUAAAAAAAGAAACUAAGGAAAAAUUCAUUAUUUAAAAAAAACUCCUUUCACUGGCAUGCUGAAAUGACCUGGGUUUUCUCCUUAUUGUUUCAAGUAUAGUCAAUUCUACAAGUACUAACUGACUUAAGUUUUGAAUAAGGUAUGAGGUUUGCAAAAAAUUUUUUGAACUAAACUACUAUCUACUUGUAGGAUCUAGUGACAAAAAAUAAAAGAAAGAAGCUUCUCUCUCUGAAGACUACGACUGAGCUGCUCUGACCAAUUUCUGAAAUGCACUGUAAAGCUCCAAUGAGUCUAUGAAUCUCCUGCAAAACAGAACCAAACUAGGACAAAGUUUAACAAAAAACUGGUUGAAUGUUUACAAAUGUUCACAUCCACCGAGAACAAGGAACCUACGUGGCGUUACAGCCUGAUCAGUCUCCCCGAAAGACCUAUCACCUGUCUUCGCCAGCUCUGCAGAGAAUUCUGCUGACGGAUGGACAGCCAGCCUGCCAGGAGCUCUGAAAACUUAAAGACAACGCCAAAUGCAGUGUGCAAGCCUUCUCACAGUGCUCGAGUAACCUGCGGCUCAGGAAUCCAAAGACAUUUAGUUCUUACAUUUAUCAGCAGAAAUCAUUUCUGCUCUUGACUUAAAUCCCAAUUCUUACCUGUUUAGAGUAAGAAAAGAUAAUAUGGCUAAACACUAGGGUAAAGCAUCUCAAAAAAUAUCAAAUACCAGGCUGGGCAUGCAGCUCAUCAAUACAGUGCUUGCCUGGGCCCUAGGUGCCCUCCCCAGCACGGCCAAAAUGGUGAAAAUAAAUAAACAUCAAAUAUCAGAAUUCAUAAACCAUAUGCUUAGUUUAAAAUUUAUUUUAAAAUAAGCCUCUGACUUAAAAUAUGUACCUAUUCUAAAAUACUACAAACUGUAUGACCCAAGUACAAUGUUUUAUAGCAAAACUUACAGUUUAAAAGAAAAUAGCUUUACUAUGUUUUCUCUCAAUGUCUUUAUUUCAGUAGUCAAAUGAUGAGUAAAGACCAAGAUCAGCUUUGUAAUCUAGGAUUUAUACUGAUCCAAACCUUUGACAUCUAAAUUUCAAAGUAUAUUGUUCAAAAACACAGGAUAGCUUAAACACACUGAAAAGACCAAGAUAUAGGUUUUUUUUUUUUUUAAAGACUAGGUCUCACUAUGCAGUUCAGGCUGAC